rnacentral:snRNA from 1 species
GGACGUGAGGGCGAUCUGGCUGUGACAGCUGUCACCCCACUGAUGGCCAGGGUUGAUUUGGCUGAUCUGGCUGGCUAGGUGGGUGUCCCUUCCCUCCCUCACCGCCCCGUGUGUGUCCCUCCUGAAGCAGGAGGACGACUCUUCCCCGAAUAGAGGAGGGCCGGUCUUUAGUCAAGGGUAUAUGAGCAGCUGCAUUCCCCUACUGGAACCUCCAAACAAGCUCUCAGGAAUGUGCUAGUGCAUCUGGUGUGAGCUGUGGGCAAGUAAGAUCCCACGCUCCAGCACGGUACUGAGGAAUGGCACGAGUGUCUCUCA